UACGUAGGGUGCGAGCGUUGUCCGGAAUUAUUGGGCGUAAAGAGCUCGUAGGCGGCUUGUCACGUCGGGUGUGAAAGCUCGGGGCUUAACCCCGGGUCUGCAUUCGAUACGGGCUGGCUGGAGUGUGGUAGGGGAGAUCGGAAUUCCUGGUGUAGCGGUGAAAUGCGCAGAUAUCAGGAGGAACACCGGUGGCGAAGGCGGGUCUCUGGGCCGAUACUGACGCUGAGGAGCGAAAGCGUGGGGAGCGAACAGG
rnacentral:rRNA from 1 species